rnacentral:rRNA from 1 species
UGCUGGGUUGGAUGAGUGGCGAACGGGUGAGUAACACGUGAGUAACCUGCCCCCUUCUUUGGGAUAACGGUCGGAAACGGCUGCUAAUACCGGGUAUUCACUGUCCUUCGCAUGGGGGGUGGUGGAAAGGUUUUUUCUGGUGGGGGAUGGGCUCGCGGCCUAUCAGCUUGUUGGUGGGGUGAUGGCUUACCAAGGCUUUGACGGGUAACCGGCCUGAGAGGGUGACCGGUCACAUUGGGACUGAGAUACGGCCCAGACUCCUACGGGAGGCAGCAGUGGGGAAUAUUGCACAAUGGGCGAAAGCCUGAUGCAGCGACGCCGCGUGAGGGAUGACGGCCUUCGGGUUGUAAACCUCUUUCGCUCAUGGUCAAGCCGCAACAGUGGUUGUGGUGAGGGUAGUGGGUAAAGAAGCACCGGCUAACUACGUGCCAGCAGCCGCGGUAAUACGUAGGGUGCGAGCGUUGUCCGGAAUUAUUGGGCGUAAAGGGCUUGUAGGCGGUUUGUCGCGUCUGCCGUGAAAUCCUCUGGCUUAACUGGGGGCGUGCGGUGGGUACGGGCAGGCUUGAGUGCGGUAGGGGAGACUGGAACUCCUGGUGUAGCGGUGGAAUGCGCAGAU